GCCGGGCGCGCUGGCGUGCGCCUGUAGUCCCAGCUCCUCGGGAGGCUGAGGCUGAAGGAUCGCUUGAGCUCAGGAGUUCUGGGCUGCAGUGCGCUAUGCCGAUCGGGUGUCCGCACUAAGUUCGGCAUCAAUAUGGUGACCUCCUGGGAGCGGGGGACCACCAGGUUGCCUAAGGAGGGGUGAAUCGGCCCAGGUGGGAAACGGAGCAGGUCAAAA
rnacentral:sRNA from 1 species